UACGAAGGGGGCUAGCGUUGCUCGGAAUCACUGGGCGUAAAGGGUGCGUAGGCGGGUUCUUAAGUCAGAGGUGAAAUCCUGGAGCUCAACUCCAGAACUGCCUUUGAUACUGAGAGUCUUGAGUACGGGAGAGGUGAGUGGAACUGCGAGUGUAGAGGUGAAAUUCGUAGAUAUUCGCAAGAACACCAGUGGCGAAGGCGGCUCACUGGCCCGGUACUGACGCUGAGGUACGAAAGCGUGGGGAGCAAACAGG
rnacentral:rRNA from 1 species